rnacentral:rRNA from 1 species
GACGAACGCUGGCGGCGUGCCUAAUACAUGCAAGUCGAACGAAGCUUUUUCAACUGGUGCUUGCACCGACUUAAACAACUGAGUGGCGAACGGGUGAGUAACACGUGGGUAACCUGCCCCAAAGCGGGGGAUAACAUUUGGAAACAGAUGCUAAUACCGCAUAACCACAGAAACCACAUGGUUUCUGUGUCAAAGAUGGUUUCGGCUAUCACUUUGGGAUGGACCCGCGGCGUAUUAGCUAGUUGGUAAGGUAAUGGCUUACCAAGGCAAUGAUACGUAGCCGAACUGAGAGGUUGAUCGGCCACAUUGGGACUGAGACACGGCCCAAACUCUUACGGGAGGCAGCAGUAGGGAAUCUUCCACAAUGGACGAAAGUCUGAUGGAGCAACGCCGCGUGAGUGGAGAAGGUUUUCGGAUCGUAAAACUCUGUUGUCAGAGAAGAACGUGUGCGAGAGUAACUGUUCGUGCAGUGACGGUAUCUGGCCAGAAAGCCACGGCUAACUACGUGCCAGCCGCCGCCGUAA